rnacentral:lncRNA from 1 species
CCUUUGGUCUGUGAGCUAUUGAGCUGUCCAGGGCUUUGUUGUGGAAGUAUAACCUACCCUAUCCUAACUAAAGAAAUAGGGACUUUUUUCCCCAACAUACUUUAAAUAGAACCAAUUGGCUCUUGUCGGCAUCCCUGAAAUCAAAAGCAGUGGAACUGGAACUGCAGGGUGGGGAUGUCUCGUGUCAUAAGAAGAUGCUGGACCUGACUAUGUCUUGGUCCCUCCCUGGGCAAGUGACUAGAUAUAACUCCAUCUAGUCAGGCCACAGUCUAGACAAGUAAUCAUUAUCCCACCCACCAAUGCCAUGUCCAGGAGCUGAGCAUCGUCUAUGAGAUGUCUUACCAGAGGAGAUGAUAGAAGAGUGCAGGUCAAAGAUCUUUAAUAACUCCCCAUCGUGUACUGUGCUAAGUGAAAACAACAGCUAUUAUCAACUGGACUCAAGGUACCUUCCAGGUUUGCUGCCCACUGCUUCCUUACUUGUUUCCUGUGUCCGAUUUGAUGGUUCCCCAAACCCAUCCUGUUUCCCGUUUGUCUCAUACUCUUGCCUCUGUCCAGACUUCCCUAAUCCUCACCACCACUUACUACAAUAAAAGCAUGUCCCAAAUGCCCUGAACUCUGCACAACCUUUCAUGAGUACACCAAACCAAUAUGUUCUCUCCCUACUUUGAAACAUAAUGAUUCUUCUGACCUAUAUACUAUGUCACAGAUGUGUGUGUGUCUGUCAUGGCCUCCUUGGAGAUAGGAAUUAUGUCUUACUCAUCUUGGCUUCCAGCAGGAGCUAGUGUAGUGUCCUAACAUGGUGAAUGUUAAAAACAUAUUUAACUUGAAUAUGAUGACCUUGAAUUGACUGUAAAUGAAAGUGGACACCAAGCUUGCCCUAUGAAAGAGUUCUACUCAUCUUCCCUGCUGGGUUUAUAAAAACUGAUUAAAAUUCAUAGCAAACAUGGAAACAACAUACACUUUCCCAUGAUAAAAAUCAAGAUAAACUUGGGGUCAAAUGGUGGAGUCGGUGCCUUUAAAGCCAAAGCAUUUUCAUAGAAAUGAAAACUUGGAAUGUCAAUUGGAUAUGUGUCAAUCAGUAAGGGAGCAGUUGAAAGGUUUAAGGUUGAUCUUUUCAGUGGACUACAUCUGGGCAUGAGAAUAGCGAUGUGAAUCUGUGCUUGUUGACAUGAGAUAUUCAUAACAGCAUUAAGUGACCAAAGCAGAUUAGAUAGCAGGGAGUUUAUUUGCAUUUUUAAAAACGUGUAGUGUGUGUCUAAAUUAAAAAGAAGAGCUUGGGAAAAUAUACAUCAAAUGUUAACACCAGUUAUCUCUGAGUGGUGAAAUUAAGGAUAAUUUAUGUGUUGUUCUAAAUACUUUUCCUGAAUUUUUGCCCUGAGCAAAAAUAGAAAAAUAUUCAACUUUCAUUGGGAAUAUAGUGGUCAUGGGUAGCCUAACUACAUGCUGAGAUAUGUGAGAGGACAUUGUGCCAUUCUGAGGGGUACACCAAGCUCUAUAACUGUAGUUGAAUUAGUAAGAACAGCUAAAAUGUUUGCUGUUGUUUUAUGCCAGGCAGUCUGCCAAGAUUUUACAUACAUUAAUUUUUUCAUUUACUUGUCAUAACAGCACUUUUCUGCUUUAUUUUUCUUUACAUCAUAUGUCACUUUCUGAUAUUAAACAGUUUAUGUAUUUAUCUCCUUCAUUGUAUGCUCCUCUCACUAGAACAUAAGCUACCUGAGGGCAGGAAUGUUUGUUUAAUUUGGUCACUUCUGUAUGCCUAGUACCUACUGCAGUGCCUGGCAUCUUAGUAAUUGAUAAAUAUUUGUUGUCUGAAUGAACCACCUAUCUUAGUCCAUUUUGUGCUGCUAUAACAGGAUACCUGAAACUGGGUAAUUUAUAAU